rnacentral:rRNA from 1 species
GUUCCCUACGGGACGCAGCAGUGAGGAAUAUUGGUCAAUGGCCGGAAGGCUGAACCAGCCAAGUCGCGUGAGGGACGACUGCCCUAUGGGUUGUAAACCUCUUUUAUAAGGGAAGAAUAAAUGCUACGUGUAGCAUGAUGCCUGUACCUUAUGAAUAAGCAUCGGCUAACUCCGUGCCAGCAGCCGCGGUAAUACGGAGGAUGCGAGCGUUAUCCGGAUUUAUUGGGUUUAAAGGGUGCGUAGGCGGAUUUUUAAGUCAGCGGUAAAAUGUCCGGGCUCAACCCGGGCCGGCCGUUGAAACUGGG